rfam:Pteropus alecto contig10352, whole genome shotgun sequence.
GCUCACUUCGACAGCACAUAUACUAAAAAUGGAAUGAUGCAGAGGUUAGCAUGGCCCCUGCGCAAGGAUAACACAUAAAUUCAUGAAGUGUUCCAUAUUUUA